GCUUUGCACCACUCCAAUCGACGCUUGGCAUUACAUAUGGUGAUCUUAGGCUUGAGUGCGUCUGUUCAGCCAUGGAAACCCAUUUCAUGAAGCUCCCAACGAGCAGUUCUUGUGCUGACGUUGCUUACAGAGGCAAUUUGGAAUUGGUAGUAUGUGUUGCAAACGAGGACAGACUAUUUUUACGCGCUACACGCUUCAGCACUCAGCUCAACAGGACACCUGUUGUGAGCUUGUGUGGCCUAUCACUUCGCAGCUGAGCCGUUGUUGCUCCUAUACAUUUCCACGUCACAAUAACAGCACUUACAGUUGAACAGGACAGCUCAAGCAGGGCAGAAAUUUGACAAACUGACUUGCUGGAAAGGUGGCAUCCUGCGACGGUGGCACAUUGAAAGUCACUGAGCUCCUUAGUAAGGCCAUUCUACUGCCAAUGUUUGUCGAUGGAGAUUGCAUGGCGGUGUGCUCUAUUUUAUACAACUGUCAGCAACAGGUGUAGCUGAAAUAGCCAAAUCCACUAAUUUGAAAGGGUGUCCACAUACCUUUGUAUACAGUGCCUUGCGAAAGUAUUCGGCUCCCUUGAACUUUGCGACCUUUUGCCACAUUUCAGGCUUCAAACAUAAAGAUGUAAAACUGUAUUUUUUUUGUGAAGAAUCAACAACAGGUGGGACACAAUCAUGAAGUGGAACGACAUUUAUUGGAUAUUUCAAACUUUUUUAACAAAUCAAAAACGGAAAAAUUGGGCGUGCAAAAUUAUUCAGCCCCUUUACUUUCAGUGCAGCAAAGUUUAGUGAGGAUCUCUGAAUGAUCCAAUGUUGACCUAAUGACUAAUGAUGAUAAAUACAAUCCACCUGUGUGUAAUCAAGUCUCCGUAUAAAUGCACCUGCACUGUGAUAGUCUCAGAGGUCCGUUAAAAGCGCAGAGAGCAUCAUGAAGAACAAGGAACACACCAGGCAGGUCCGAGAUACUGUUGUUAAGAAGUUUAAAGCCGGAUUUGGAUACAAAAAGAUUUCCCAAGCUUUAAACAUCCCAAGGAGCACUGUGCAAGCGAUAAUAUUGAAAUGGAAGGAGUAUCAGACCACUGCAAAUCUACCAAGACCUGGCCGUCCCUCUAAACUUUCAGCUCAUACAAGGAGAAGACUGAUCAGAGAUGCAGCCAAGAGGCCCAUGAUCACUCUGGAUGAACUGCAGAGAUCUACAGCUGAGGUGGGAGACUCUGUCCAUAGGACAACAAUCAGUCGUAUAUUGCACAAAUCUGGCCUUUAUGGAAGAGUGGCAAGAUGAAAGCCAUUUCUUAAAGAUAUCCAUAAAAAGUGUCAUUUAAAGUUUGCCACAAGCCACCUGGGAGACACACCAAACAUGUGGAAGAAGGUGCUCUGGUCAGAUGAAACCAAAAUUGAACCUUUUGGCAACAAUGCAAAACCUUAUGUUUGGCGUAAAAGCAACACAGCUCAUCACCCUGAAAACACCAUCCCCACUGUCAAACAUGGUGGUGGCAGCAUCAUGGUUUGGGCCUGCUUUUCUUCAGCAGGGACAGGGAAGAUGGUUAAAAUUGAUGGGAAGAUGGAUGGAGCCAAAUACAGGACCAUUCUGGAAGAAAACCUGAUGGAGUCUGCAAAAGACCUGAGACUGGGACGGAGAUUUGUCUUCCAACAAGACAAUGAUCCAAAACAUAAAGCAAAAUCUACAAUGGAAUUGUUCAAAAAUAAACAUAUCCAGGUGUUAGAAUGGCCAAGUCAAAGUCCAGACCUGAAUCCAAUCGAGAAUCUGUGGAAAGAACUGAAAACUGCUGUUCACAAAUGCUCUCCAUCCAACCUCACUGAGCUCGAGCUGUUUUGCAAGGAGGAAUGGGAAAAGAAUUCAGUCUCUCGAUGUGCAAAACUGAUAGAGACAUACCCCAAGCGACUUACAGCUGUAAUCGCAGCAAAAGGUGGCGCUACAAAGGGGGCCGAAUACUUUCGCAAGGCACUGUAUAUUGUGUACUGUACGUACGUAUAGUCUCAAAUAAAACUGUGGACCCUGAUCUCUCUUUUGACGAACAUAUCAAGACCGUUUCAAAGACAGCUUUUUUCCAUCUAGGUAACAUUGCAAAAAUCAGAAACAUUAUGUCCAAAAAUUAUGCAGAAAAAUAUAUCCAUGCUUUUGUUACUUCUAUGCUAGACUACUGCAAUGCUCUACUUUCCGCUACCCGGAUAAAGCACUAAAUAAACUUAAGUUAGUGCUAAAUACGGCUGCUAGAACCAAAAAAACGGAUCAAAUUACUCCAGUGCUAACCUCCCUACACUGGCUUCCUGUUAAGGCAAGGGCUGAUUUCAAGGUUUUACUGCUAACCUACAAAGCAUUAUAUGGGCUUGCUCCUACCUAUCCUUCCGAUUUGGUCUUGCCGUACAUACCUACACGUACGAUACGGUCACAAGACGCAGCCCCCCUAAUUGUCCCUAACAUUUCUAAGCAAACAGCUGGAGACAGGGCUUUCUCUUAUAGAGCUCAAUUUUUAUGGAAUGGUCUGCCUACCCAUGUGAGAGACGCAGACUUGGUCUCAACCUUUAAGUCUUUACUGAAGAGUCAUCUCUUCAGUAGGUCCUAUGAUUGAGUGUAGUCUGGCCCAGGAGUGUGAAGGUGAACAGAAAGACUGGAGCAACGAACCGCCCUUGCUGUCUCUGCCUGGCCGGUUCCCCUCUCUCCACUGGGAUUCUCUGCCUCUAACCCUAUUACAGGGACUGAAACACUGGCUUACUGGUGCUCUUUCAUGCCGUCCCUAGGAGGGGUGCGUCACUUGAGUGGGUUGAGACACUGACGUGAUCUUCCUGUCUGGGUUGGUGCUCCCCUUGGGUUGUGCCGUGGCGGAGAUCUUUGUGGGCUAUACUCAGUCUUGUCUCAGGAUGGUAAGUUGGUGGUAUAAGAUAUCCUCUCGUGGUAUGGGGGCUGUGCUUUGGCAAAGUGGGUGGGGUUAUAUCCUUCCUGUUUGGCCCUGUCCGGGGGUAUCAUCUGAUGGGCACACAGUGUCUCCUGACCCUUCCUGUCUCAGCCUCCAGUAUUUAUGCUGCAGUAGUUUGUGUCGGGGGGCUAAGGUCAGUUUGUUAUAUCUGGAGUAUUUCUCCUGUCUUAUCCGGUGUCCUGUGUGAAUUUAAGUAUGCUCUCUCUAAUUCUCUCUUUCUCUCUUUCUUUCUCUCUCUCGGAGGACCUGAGCCCCAGGACCAUGCCUCAGGACUACCUGGCAUGGUGACUCCUUGCUGUCCCCAGUCCACUUGGCCGUGCUGCUGCUCCAGUUUCAACUGUAAUGCCUGCGGCUAUGGAACCCUGACGUGUUCACUGGACGUGCUACCUGUCCCAGACCUGGUGUUUUCAACUCUCUAGAGACAGCAGGAGAGUGUCCCACAUGGUCAUUGAAGAGGUCAACAGCAUUCAAGAGAACCUGGACAUAGAGAGGACAUGCAGACAGAGUGUGGAAGCCAUGGCCUCCAAGGUUUGGAUAACCACAUAGGAAGACAGAAAGAGGGAGAGAAGGAUAAGAGAAGGUCUAGCAGAUGAAUCAAAGCCCUUCUUCAAUUUAAAAAAAGGGGGAGAGAAAAAGAUGUUGCUUACAACAACCAUGGAGAGAACAACAUUAUAAAAGCGCUCCAAUAUGGGUCAGACCAGCCUUGUAAAGGGGUCUUUGUUCUCUUCUUUCUCUGGUGAAAACAAUGCAAGAGAAAAAUGAAGACAUCUCUUUUCUUACUGUGAUAAAUGGGCUUUACUGGAACAUCAUAAAAUGAAUCUUCCAGAAUGAACUAAAAUAUCAGAGAACCUUGAAUGCUGUGUCACUGUAUAAUCCUCUAUUGUUCACGCAGGGGACAUGCAAGUCUAAAGGACGGCCUAAACACAGAGUAAAGAAUUUAGAACACAUGAUUACAAAUGCAUUGUUGUCAAUUACAACCUCCUGGAAAUAUUGUACUGUUUUCCCGUGAAAUGUAUUUUCAUGUCAAAUGAUGAGCUUCCCUUAUAUUUAGGCACUACCUUUUGUAGUGCCUCUCAAACCCCUCCUCAUGUAUCCCCAGAUGUUUCACCAUUUUGUUGUAGCCUUGA